UAAGAAGAAGGAGUCAUAUUCGGACGGCUUAGUUAAUGCGAUAAAAGGGACAAGCUGAUGAGGAGUUUUUUGUCGCAGAGGGUGAUGAGCAUCUUGAGGAUGAUGUUUCUGGCGGUUAAGUAAAGCAUAGAGAAUGGCUUUCAUCCAGGUGGUGCCAGAUUUGGGUGGAGUUACAAGGAAGACAUCGUUUUGUCGAGGUCGAAAAUGUUGUUGACAGUCGAUCAAGCCUUUCAAACUUAUAGAACCAAACCAGAAUCCUUGGUAUUGAUAAGUGUAGUCUUCAGUUAUGCCUUUGGCUUUUGGCAGGGAUGAAAGCCAUUCUUGGCUACAAACCACAGGCUCAGCGUCAGACUCUGUUGUUUUCGCUUCCAUGAUAUGUUAUGUUAACAUGCAAAGAAAAGACAUGUGAUAUAUUAUAAUAUUGGACACCACUAGCCCAGGGACCUAUAGCAUAUUCCUCGAUUAAAUAAUUGGAUUACAGCUCUACAAUCACAAACCGUUAGAAAGAGUAGGACCCCUAGGUAUUACAUUUAUGGAAAAUGCUUAUUGCACAUAAUUGUGUACUAAAACAUGUACAUAAUGAUAUGUGUCAGAUUUUAAUUGGAUGACCCCCUGCAUUUACACCAAUCACCCCAAUUAAAACCCACCACAUCACUUGCCACAUCAUUAUGUACAAAUUUUCUGUACACAAUUAUGUGCACCUAGCACUACUCUACAUUUAUAGUAGUGUUACAUACACAAAAUUGGAUACUCCCUCUGUCCCAUUUAAUUCUAUACGUUUCUUUUUAACUGCUCGACACGCAUUUCAAUGCUCUUAUAAAAUAUAGUUCCGUAACUUUUUUUUGAGAUUUUCUUUUUCUGUAUAAAAAUAUAACAUCCAAACUUUAAUACAGAAAAGAAAAAUUUUAAAAACAAAUUGCACAACUACAUUUUGCAGGAGCAUUAAAGUCCGUGCCGCGUCCCCGUCCCCCAAUGUAUACAACUCAGGGGGACGGAGGGAGUACAUAAUUUUGGACAAAAUGACAUGACAAGUAAGGUGGGAAGUUUUAAGUGGUGCUAUUAAUGCAUAUACAGGGGCCAAUCAAAUCACAAGUUAACACAUACUUAUUCUGUGAAUGUUUUUGUACACAAUCCUGUGCAUCUAACAUUUUCCUUACAGUUAAUAUAAAUACAUAUUUUAAAAAUUAUUUUAAUUUUUUUACAUUGUUGUGUGUGUCAGAAAUAAUUUUAAAAUAUAAUACAUAAACUUUGAGGGAACACAGGAGGUAAAGUAGCUAUUAGAGACUAAAUAUAUACACUGUUACCUCUCAAACAGUUAAAGUGAACGGCGUAUUUGGACGGAAUAGUGACUAGGGUUUACAACUUGCACGGUAAUGUCAAGUGUAAGGUGCAUAUUGCCACGUUUUAAAGUUUAGGUACUAAACUGCGUUUGAAGCAAAACUAAGAGAUACAAAAUGUAAUUAACUCUUCAAUUAUUUCCCAGCUGAUUGACAAAUUUGCUGUUGUUUAUCCACCCAGCAGUUGCUCAGUCAUUUGUAGUGUACAGAAUGCUACUCCCUCCGAUUCUAAUUACUUUUCCCGUUUGAAAUGUCGGUACUGUUCAUAACACGAGACAAAUUACUAAUUUACGUAUAAUCUAUAAGAUAAAAUAUAGUCAUGAGUGAUCUUAUUGGAUUCGUAUUUAUAAGUACUUUAAUACGGUGAAAGUUUUAUAUUUAAAACUAAUAUAAAAUUAAAGAUAUUUAUAAUCAAAAAUGUGUAUUGGCAAACGUGAAAAGGACAAAUGGGAAAAGUAUUUAGGGACGGAGGGAGUAACAGACAUAGGCAACAUCAUCGUUUAAUCUUAGUAUUGGCCAAUAAAUUCAGAUGAAACUGUGGUUUCUUUCAGAUUUGGGUGAAUCGGCAUAUAUGAUAUACCUGACAUUAGUAGGAUAUAAAUAGAAAUAGCCUUGCUUUCGUAUUUUUUUCUUGUUGAGUUACGGUGAGAAGUUAUUAUUGCUCAAUAUUUAUAUUCAGACAUAAUUUUGAUAGAUUUUGGAGUCUUCUAAUUAGAAUAUGAUAAUAAGGUGAUGAUUUUUGCAUGAGUAUAUCAAAUUUAUAUAUUCACUUUUCAUUAUGUAAUACACGCCUAUGACUCAAUGGGGUGGACAAUCAAAAUCGCCUAAAAACCAAAGAUAUUAUUGACAUGCAUGCAUCUGGUGUAAAUAUAAUUCCUAACUAUGUUAUAAACUCCCUCACCAACUAUUGGAUACAUCACAUAUGCGAAAUUUAUUAAAAUCUUGUUAUUCGGGACUAAGGGAAUUUUUUGGAUAUUUUGAACUGAUAAUUUUGUGAGAUUUUCGGAGUAUUCUAUACUUUCAUAAUCAACGAAAAGUGUUGAAGUUUGCAUUUAAAUUCUAAAAACUCUUUUGCAUAAAAUGAAAAAUAAAUAUAAUUUAUUAACAUUCAUAAAUUAUUAUUACUUAAUUAAAAUCCGAAUCAAACAACACCUUAAUUGAAACGUGCUCCUGAGAAGGUACAGUACUUGGUAUACAUCGAGGGAGUACUACUUAAAAAUGCAUACAUAUGAUGAUAAGCCAUCUCAAACUCAUACUUUCAGGGACAUAAAACAAAGAGACACAAACAAGCCAACAAGAAGAUCAAUAAUACAAGCAACAAACACACAUUAAAUUCGAUAUUAAUUUUGGCCAUAAUGUAUAUAAGUGAUGAUGAUAUAUAUAUAUAUAUCAAAGUUUUAAUCCUGAACCACGGAACUUGUCCUGGGUAAUCUGAUCCAACUUAGCAGCCAUCUCUGGAGUUAGCCACUUAUUUCCUUCUCCAACUUGACCGUUCCGAAAAUAUGAAGAAUUGCUUACUCCGGGCAAGAAAUGUCCUGUGCUAUUAACCUGCAGUUUGCUCAUGCUCCCAAAACUACACAAACUCGUGAUCUGAUCAACCAUUUCCAUUAAUUCCUCCUCUGGUGAGAAGGGUCUCCCCAGAAACCGCGCCAGACGCCUGAGUUGAGCAUGAGGCUCAGACUUCAACUCUUCAUACCUCAUAAACAGCACCUUGUUUGGUCUCUCCAGGCUUUCCUUCCAAUAUUCCAAGAUUUGAUCCCAGAUAGGACCCGCAACGUUUGUGCCUUUGCAGAAUAAAUGAAAUGCCUCCUCCAAAGAAACGGGAGAAGAUCGUAAACCCAGGGCCGGCUCAUAAUGAAGGCGAGUUAGGCAAUCGCCUAAGGCCCCCAUCUGGAGAAGGCCCCAAAAUUUUAUUGGUAUGUAUUUAUGUAGGUAUAUAUGUACAAAAAUAAAUAAACUAGCUUCAUGAUUUAAAAGAAUAAAAAAAAAAUAUUCGAAUUAUCUUACAAUAGGCCCCAAAAUGAAAUUAAUAUGUAUACAUUGAGGUAUAUUUAUAUAUGCAAAAAGAAAUUAGUUUCAUGAUAUUAAAAGAAAAAUUAAAAAAGAACUAGAAUUAAUAUCUAAAUCUGGUAAAAAAAUUGAGAAAUACUGUGUGAUAAUUUUUUUUGAAAAGAAUGAUAACUAAAAUAUUAAUAUUGAUAGUUUUAGUCAUGUUUUUUUUGUGCUAACUUAAUAAAUACUUGAUUUGAAUCUCUAACUAAUAAUAAAUAUGUAAAUAAUUUUUUUAUUGGGAUGUAACUUGGUUCUUGUGAACAUAAAAUUUAGUUCUCAAAAAUAAAAAAAUGUUAGAGAUUCUAUUAUGAUUUUUUCAGUCUCUCUUCAUUUUAAUUACUUUUUAAAUUUUAAUUUUAAUAACACAAAUACUUUUAUUAUAAUAUUAAAUAAUAUAAAACUAUCAAUGUAUAUAAGUUAUUUAUGUUAUACACAAGACACGUUACACUGAUUAACAUUAAUUUAUAAUGUUAAUGUCAUUUUUCAUCUCCGGGUCUUCUAGAGUCUAAACAAUUUACUUAAUUAUCUAAACAUCAUCUUUACUCUAUAUCUUUACUCUAUAUCUUCUCCGUCCAGUUUUUGCAAAAAAAAAAAAAAUUACUUCUGAGUUUUAUAUUAUAAUAUUUAAUAUUAAAAAAAUAUUUAUAUUAGUAAUAUAAUAUUUAAAUUUUUGCUUAGGCCUCAUUUUGAGGUUCCGCCUAAGGCCACAAAAUUUCUUGAGCCGGUCCUGCGUAAACCAAUUUUGUUUGCGAAGUGAAAGAGUGAAGUAAAAGUGUCCUUGAUGUCCCUGCACAAAUACACAAUCUUGAUGUUAGUUGAUCCAUCAUCAUCCUCCUCUGUUAUGGACUUGGGGAGGCAACGUAUAGGAAAAUGGCAGCCAAAGAUCCUACUAGUGCUGUCUAAGAAUAAGGAGUCAUAUUCGGACGGCUUAGUUAAUUCCAUAAAAGGGACAAGCUGAUGAGGAGUCUUUUGUCGCAGAGGGUGAUGAGCAUCUUGAGGAUGAUAUUUUUGGCGGUGAAGUAAAGCAUAGAGAAUGGCUUUCAUCCAGGUGGUGCCAGAUUUGGGUGCAGUUACAAGCAAGACAUCGUUUUGUCGAGGCCGAAAAUGUUGUUGACAGUCGAUCAAGCCUUGCAAACUUAUAGUACCAAACCAGAAUCCUUGGUAUUGAUAAGUGUUGUCUUCCGUUAUGCCUUUGGCUUUUGGCAGGGAUGAAAGCCAUUCUUCGCUAUAAACCACUGUCUCAUCAUGCUCUGUUGUUUUUGCUUCCAUGAUACUUUGUUGUGUAACAUUGAAAGCAAAAAAAUGUGAUAUAUAAUGCAUUCAGCAUCAAUGCCUUGCUCUGUCGUUGGUGGCGUUGGUUUCCCUGCAGGUAAACGUUAUAUAUCAUAUUAAUGCUCGCAUCCGAGUUGGUUGGAAAAUUGAUAAAACUAACAAACAUUUCCAAUACUAUCAACAUGUCUGCCCAACAUGUGUGAGCCUAUUAAUAGACAUGGGCAAUACUAUCAUCGUUUAAUCUUAACAUUGGUCGAUAAACUAAGACCAUCUCCAAUCAUAAUUUUAUAAAUAAAGCAACUUCAUCUUUAUUUUCACUUUUUUCACUUUAUAUUUUUAUUCCAUCUCCAAUCAUUACUUUAUUUUAUAAAUAAAGCAAUUUGUGUUUUAUCUUCAAGUUCAACUUCAUAUAUAAAGUAGGAUAGUGCAUGACUUUAUAUAUAAAGAUAGAGUAAUAGAUGAUCGGAGAUGGAUUACUUUAUUUGAAAAAUUAAAAGUGAAGAUAUACUAAGUAUAGAGUGAUGGUUGGAGAUGCCUUAAGGUUGUUUCUAUCUGAUCUGGGUGGCCUUGGAUAUUAAUGCUUGCACCAGAGUUGGUUGGAAUAAUUUGAUAAACAAAGACGUGAUGUUGAUAUAAUGCAUUCACCAUUGAUGUCUUGUUGAUAGAGGUGGCCAAACGGACUAAACCGACUGAACCGGCACGCCCCGAACCGGGUUUUUAACCGCCCGAAACCGUCUAAAUACGGGCCGGUUCGAAACCGUCAUGAACCGAUAUGAGCACGUGCCGAAUACGGGUUGACAAAUAAGGAACCGAACCGUAACCGGCCCGGAACCGCUAGAAUCCAUGGAACCGACGCAGUUGGAACCGCGGAACCGCGGUUUGAACUGUGGAACCGCAAAACCGCGGAACCGCGGUUCAAACCGUGUAAGGUGCAUGUACAAAGGGUGCUUGGUAACCAAUUUUGUGAUAUAAUUACAAGUUUUUGCUUUCUGUAUUUUUGUACAGGGGUAUUAAUUUGUUACUCUUUGUUUUAUUUCGUUUGUUUUGUUAAUUUUAGUUUUUGUUUAGUUAGUUUAGUUUAUUUCGUUAACCUUAAAUAUAGUUUACUUAAUUUUAUUUCGUUUUAGUUAUUAAGUUUAGGUAAUUUUAUUUAAAAAAAUAAUUUAGUUAGUUUUAUUUCGGUUAAGUUUUCAUACUCAAAUAAUUUUCGUUUAGAAAAAUAAUUUAGUUAAUUUUAUUUAGGUUAAGUUUUUAAAUUUAGGUAAUUAUUUAUUAGUUUACAAUUUAUUGAUAAUUAAUUUCAUAUUAAUACUUAACAAAAAUAAUUUCCCAAAUUAAUAUCAUAUAAAACUUUAUUAUCAAAAUUUUAAAUUUUAAGAAUUAUUAAAAUUUACACAUGUUAUUAUAAAACAAAAAAAAAACAAAAAAGCAACACAUGCAUGUUAAGUGAGCCAGACAAUAAUUGAAGAGCCACGCUGAACCGCAGAACAUGAACCGCGAACUGCGGAACCGCUUAAACCGGCACGAACCGCCAACCCGUCUCAACCGUGUGAACCGUAUAACACGGUUUCGGUUUUCAUUUCCAUCAGCCCGGCCCGGCACGGACCGGACAGCCAGUCUUGACGUGCCGGUUACGGUUUCAUCGCUGACAGUUCGGCCCGCGGUUGAAUUGGCCCGAACCGCCCCGGCCCGCCCGAAUGGCCACCUCUACUUGUUGAGCACUGCUUUAUUAUUAUUAUGGGUUUUUCCUUGCGUGAGUAGGCUAAAAGGUCGCUCAACUCAUGACCAACUUACAGUUUCAUAACUCAAAAAGCUUAUUAAUAAAUUACACAACUAGAUUUAACUUACUAUUUAAUCAUUAACAUUAAAAAUGUUUCCACCACCGUUAACUCUUGUUUGACUUUUAACUAAAAAUAUUAGUCAAUUGGGUCUUUCGGUUAUUUAAAUACAAAUUUUUAUUAGUUCCGUAAACCAACUGCAAGUUGAGGACCAUUCGAUCAUGUAUUAGCCUAUUGACUUGUUUCAUUUAAUAAAAAUGCCCUAUUCAGUUCAAACCCAAUUUUUUUGAAUAAAAUUAAUCUAUCAUCUUAUUAUGAAAUUAUAGAAGUGAUCCAUAAUUUUUUUUUAAAAAGGUACUCCCUCUGUCCCAUUUUAACUGAUGUUUGACUUUUUAACACGUAUAUUGAGGUGUAAAAAAAUAAUAUCUACACUCAAUAAAAAAUUUCAAUUCUUAUAUCAAAUAAAAGUUUAGACUCUAAACUUUUAUUUGAUAUAAAUUUUAUAAAAAAUAAUCAUGUUUAGAUGUAAUUUUUUUAACAUCUUAAAAUACGUGUAAAAAAGUCAAAAGCAGUUAAAAUGGGACGGAGGGAGUACUUUUUAAAAAAUUGACAUUUUUCUCUACUUUAAAUUUUAUUAAAUCAUAGAAGUGCUCAUUGUCCCCCCCCCCUAAUUUGAAAAUAUGAAGGUAAUUUCCAUAAAAUUGACAUUUUUCAUAAUUGUAAAUCUUAUGAAAUUAUUGAAGUUCAAAAUUUUUAUUGUGCGAGUCAUGAGAAUGAUUUAUAUUGGUGGAAAAUUUUGUUCUAUUCUACUAUUAUUAAUUAUUAAUGUGAUGAGAGUCAAUAAAAAUAUGUUAGCUAUUUAGAGAGUAAUUGGUUGUUAUGCCGGUUGAUGGCACAUACUAGAAAAUUGGAUUAUUAUUAAUAAUGCUUGCAACAAGUUUAUUGAAAAAAUUGAUAAAAAUAACAUCAUGUCAGUAGAAAACUGACCGAAAAUGAUAAUUUCCGGAUUUUAUUAUUACUCAAUUGCAAAGAGAGUAUUUGUAUUUGUGUGCAAAGAGACACUUGUUUCCCUCUCCAACUUGACCAUUCCGAAAGAAGGAAGAAUUGCUUACUCCAGGCAACAAAUUUCCAGUGCUAUUAACCUGCAGUUUGCUCAUGCUACCAAAACUACACAAACUCGUGAUCUGAUCAACCAUUUCCAUAUUCUCCUCCUCCGGUGAGAAGGGCCUCCCCAGAAACUGAGCCAGACGCCUGAGUUGAGCAUGAGGCUCAGACUUUAACUCUUCAUACCUCAUAAACAGCACCUUGUUUGGUCUUUCUAGGCUUUCCUUCCAAUAUUCCAAGAUUUGAUCCCAUAUAGGACCCGCCACGUUUGUGCCUUGGCAGAAGAAAUGAAAUGCCUCCUCCAAAGAAACAGGAGAAGAUCGUAAACCAAUAUUGUUGGCGAAGUGAAAGAGUGAAGUAGAAGUGUCCUUGAUGUCCCUGCAGAAAUACACAAUCUUGAUGUUAGCUGAUCCAUCCUCCUCCGUUAUGGACUUGGGGAGGCAACCUAUAGGAAAAUGGCAGCCAAAGAUCCUACUAGUGCUGUCUAAGAAUAAGGAGUCAUAUUCGGACGGCUUGGUUAAUGCGAUAAAAGGGACAAGCUGGUGAGGAGAAUUUUUCGCAGGGGGUGAUGAGCAUCUUGAGGAUGAUGUUUCUGGCGGUGAAGUAAAGCAUAGAGAAUGGCGCUUUCAUCCAGGUGGUGCCUGAUUUGGGUGCAGUCACGAGGAAGACAUCGUUUUCUCGAGGUCGAAAAUGUUGUUGACAGUCGAUCAAGCCUUGCAAACUUAAAGUACCAAACCAGAAUCCUUGGUAUUGAUAAGUGUAGUCUUCAGUUACGCCUUUGGCUUUUGGCAGGGAUGAAAGCCAUUCUUGGCUACAAACCAGUGUCUGAUCAUGCUGAGGAGACUCUGUUGUUUUCGCUUCCAUGAUAUUAGAGCUGUUCACGAACCGAGUCGAGCCGAGUUUUGACGUAAACGAGCCGAGUUUUUAUUUUUUCUCUGACGAACCGAGCCGAGCCGAGCUUUCUUACCGAACAAAAAAACAUGUUCGAGCUCGAGUUCGUUACCUCACGAGCCGAACACGAGCUUGUUCGCGAACAAAUUCGAGCCGAGUCGAGCUUGUUGUGUUAUCGAACAGCUCGUUAAAAUACAACAAUUACACAUAACAUUAGCCCAGCCCAACAAUCAAAAAACCUAAACAUAUACUAUACUCAGGGGUUCAUUCGUUCCCUAAUCUCUCAAUCCGUAGUUCUUAUAUCCCCAAAACCAAUCUCAGAUUCAAAAACCAGGUGGUGGUUCACGUCACUACAAGCAAGCCAAAUAACCUCACUCGGGCAUUCUUGUACAAGAGGUUUACCCAGAAUCCAAACUACUAUGAUCUGCAGGGUGUUAAUGGAAUGCAUCUGGAAGCAUUUGACUAACACACUUAGCGAUCUGGAAGCAUGGAAGCAAGUAAGUGCGUUGAUAUAGAGGAUGAUUGUAUCUUUCUUCUCUAAAUCUUGAGAUGAUAUCCUAAACGGCUAAGUCCAGAAGUUAGAAAGGUAUAGUAUUAUAAAAAUAUUCUGGGUACAAUUCAUAAUUUAUCGAGCUUUUAACGAGCGAGUUCGAGCCGAACGAGAUCGAGCCGAACACGAGCCGAGCUCGAGCCGAACAUACUGAAACUCGGCUCGAGCUCGUUUUGCUUAACGAACAGAUUUUCGAGUUCGAGCUCGAGCUCGAUUUUAUAAACGAACCGAGCCGAACGAGUUCUUAACGAGCCGAACACGAGCUUGUUCGCGAACAGCUCGGUUCGCGAACAGGCCUGCAUGAUAUGUUAUGUUAACCUGCAAAGCAAAGACAUGUGAUAUAUUAUAAUAUUGGACACCACUAGCCCAAGGGACCUAUAGCAUAUUCCUCGAUUAAAUAAUUGGAUUACAGCUCUACAAUCACAAACCGUUAAAAAGAGCGGGACCCCUAGGUAUUACAUUUAACCAUAUAAUCUCAAAUUUUCUAACAACUCAAUAUGCGGGAAUAGAAUACAAUAGUAAUAAAUUUAUUUCAGUAUCUAAAAUCAGAUGACAGUAAUUCUAGUUAUAACUGUUGCUUAGGGCUUCGGUCUGACCUUAAACUAAUCACAGUUGGUCUUACAUUCAAGCACUGGCCCCGACACAGUAUCAUGAACAACACUAGCUAGUAAAGGCCCUAACAACAGCAACAGCAAUAGCAUUGGUAUAUGCAUGGCAAGGCAUUUUUGAUUCGUGGAGAUGAUCAGGACACGCUUAUAUAUGCUUUACGGAUGGAGAAUUAUGGAAUAUGGAUGCGCAAUCAAAUUUGCCAAAAAGAAGAAGAUACCACUAACGUGCAUGCAUCUUGUAUAGAUAUAAAUACUCAUACACGGAUUAUUGAACACCAUGCAUACAUAUUCAAGUGUCCAACUUACAAAAAUUUAAAAUUGAUGGCUCAUGCACACUGCCCUAGUUUUCGGACCCACAUACGCGACAAGACAUAAUACAUUACUCCCUCCGUCCCGCUCAAUUCUAUACAAUUUUUUUUGGAUGUCCUAUCAUUUCCAUACAUUCCCAAGAUAACAACUUUUUAUAAUAUAAAUCAAUAAAACACUACUACAACCACAGUUUUAUCUCCACUAAUAAAAACACUAUUACACCCGGUAUUUUCCUCUACUGUCUAAAAUCUAUUAUUACAAAAUAUAUGAUCCUACCACUUUACCCGUUUUCUAUCUAACUUUCUUUACUUACUUCUUACCUUUUUUGUCUCCGUAUCCAAUCUCAUGUAUAUAAUUUAUUGGGACGUAAGGAGUAUUAAGUAAACAUUCAUGUAUAUAAGUAGAUAUCUUAACAAAAAUAACUAUUUAUGAUCAAACACGAAAGUGUAAGGAAUAUUACAAGAUGGGCAUCUUCUAUGUAUUAUUCUUUUUCCUCUCAUGGACAGACAUGACCACCAACCACGAUUAUCUAACUAAAAGAGUUCUACCAUUAUCUACCUAAAAGAGUUCGAGUAAGUAUCUAUCAGUAGAGCCGGCCAUUCGGGCGGUUUGGCUCGGCCCGAACCGAACCGAACCGUAAUUUAGCCCGCAUUUGCACGUUCCGGUUCGAAACCGGCACAAACCGGCACGAACCGUGGUUGACGACGAGCCGGUUACGGGUCCAAGAUCUUCGAUUCGCAAACCGUACAAACCGGCACGCCAAAACCGUUCCAACCCGCGUCAAACCACAACCCGCGUGAGCCCGCGGUUCACCGCAACCCGCGUGAACCGAAGCCCGCGCCAGCCCGUCUUGAGAGGGUAUUAUGUAUCAUUUUAAAAGUUCUUUGGCUGUGAUGCAGUGAUCAUAACUCAUUGCUUUGAUAUUUGUAGUUGUGGAUAGUAUUUUAUGCAUUAAUUUCUGCUUAACUUUUUAAUUUCUUAAUUAUUCUUCUUGUGUUAUUAAGAAAUUAUUUUCAAAAAAAAAGAAUAUUAUUGUAACAAAGUUAUUUCAUAGUAGAAAUAUAACAAAAAUAAUAUAUUUCUAUUUAUUUUUACAAUAACUAGAACUUUGCCAUUCUUGAAAUAUAAUAAAAAUAAUAUAUAUCUAUUUUUUUUAGAGAGGAGUCCUCUCACAUUAUUUGUAAAAUCUUUUUUUAAUAUAUAAAAUCUAUAAGAGGUGCCGCCCUCUUUUUACCAUUUUAUUAUUUAUUAGUUUAUAAUAAUUUAUUAUUAGUUAAAUUAAGAAAUUAAAUUCUAAAAUUAAAUUCCAUUGUAAAGUCCAGAUCAGUUGCACAUUAAUAUUAAAAACAAAAAACACAAUGAUUUGGUCACCUACUGUGACUCUACUAAGUAGGAAAUACUAACUAAAUCUAAGUGUAUUGGCCUGUCUGCUAAACCGCGGAACCGCCUGAACCGUGAACCGCACGAACCGUCUAACCCGCCAAACUCGUAGAAUCCGUAUAACACGGUUCCGGUUUCUAAUUUCUUCAGCCCGGCCCGGCACGGACCGGACCGCCAACUUAGACGGGCCGGUUACGGUUCCACCUGUGACGGUUCGGAAACCGUCUGAACCGGCCCGAACCGCCCCGGCCCGCCCGAAUGGCCACCUCUAUAUCAGGCCUACAAAUUAAGCCGAAGAAAGCGUCUUAUUAUCUGUGCAUGCAUCUGUAGAUUUGCAUGUGCAUUUUACGUAAAGGAUCUUUUUUAUAAAAUCUAAUUAUAUUCGUAUGAGAUAUUAAAAAAUAUAUUAGAUUCUUGAAUUUUUUUUAUUCAAAAUUUAAAUUAUUUUUAUCUGAAAAUCUAGUAUAUAAUUAUUGUUUUAAAUUAUAUAUAAAAAUUUAAUGAUAUUGAAUUAAGAUUAUCAAAAAAUAAUUAAAAUCUCAUGUACAUUCGAAGUAGAAUUUUUUGGACAUUACAAAAUGAUAAAUUUUGUGUGAUUAUCAGUAUAUUUUAUAUUUUCAUAAUUCACAAAAAUAUAAAAAAUUAUAUUUAAAUAUUAAAUCUCUUCUGCAUAAAAUAAAAAUUAUGAAAUAUAAUCUAUUAAAUUUAUAAAUUAUUAAUAAUUCAUUAACGUCCCAAUCAUAUAUAAAUAACACCUUAAUUAAAUCAAGCAAAGUACAAUAUUUGGUAUAUAUGGGAGUACAGUUUAAAAAUGCAUACAUAUGAUGAUAAGCCAUCUCACACUCAUACUUUCAUGGACAUGAAACAAACACACACAAACAAGCCAACAAGAAGAUGAAUAAUACAAGCAACAAACACACUUAAAUUCGACAUUUUUGGCCAUAAUGUAUAUAAGUGAUGAUGAUGAUAUAUCAAAGUUUUAAUCCUGAACCACGGAACUUUUCCUGGGUAAUCUGAUCCAACUUAGCGGCCAUCUCUGGAGUUAAACACUUAUUUCCUUCUCCAACUUGACCAUUCCGAAAAAAGGAAGAAUUGCUUACUUUAGACGAGAAAUGUCCAGUGCUAUUAACCUGCAGUUUGCUCAUGCUGCCAAAACUACACAAACUCGUGAUCUGAUCAAUCAUUUCCGAGUUCUCUUCCUCUGGUGAGAAAGGUCUCCCCAGAAACCGCGCCAGACGGGUGAUUUGAGCAUGAGGCUCAGACUUCAAGUCUUCAUACCUCAUAAACAGCACCUUGUUUGGUCUUUCCAGGCUUUCCUUCCAAUAUCCCAAGAUUUGAUCCCAUAUAGGACCACCCACGUUUGUGCCUUUGCAGAACAAAUGAAAUGCCUCCUCCAAAGAAAUGGGAGAAGAUCGAACACCAAUAUUGUUGGCGAAGUGGAAGAGUGAAACAAAAGUGUCCUUGAUGUUCCUGCACAAAUACACAAUCUUGAUGUUAGUCGAUCCAUCCUCCUCCUCCUCUGUUAUUGACUUGGGGAGGCAAACUAUUGGAAAAUGGCAGCCAAAGAUCCUACUAGUGCUGUCUAAGAAUAAGGACUCAUAUUCGGACGGCUUGGUUAAUGCGAUAAAAGGGACAAGCUGGUGAGGAGUUUUUUUGUCGCAGGGGGUGAUGAGCAUCUUGAGGAUGAUGUUUCUGGCGGUUAAGUAAAGCAUAGAGAAUGGCUUUCAUCCAGGUGGUUCCUGAUUUGGGUGGAGUCACGAGGAAGACAUCGUUUUGUCGAGGUCGAAAAUGUUGUUGACAAUUGAUCAAGCCUUGCAAACUUAUAGGACUAAACCAGAAUCCUUGGUAUUGAUAAGUGUAGUCUGGAAUUACGCCUUUGGCUUUUGGCAGGGAUGAAAGCCAUUCUUCGCUACAAACCAGUGUCUCAUCAUGCUCUGUUGUUUUUGCUUCCAUGAUAUGUUGUGUAACAUUGAAAGCAAAAACAUGUGAUAUAUAAUGCAUUCAGCAUUAAUGCCUUGCUCAGUCGUUGGUGGUGUUGGUUUCCCUGCAGGUAAACGUUAUAUCACAUAUUAAUGCUCGCAUUCGAGUUGGUUGGAAAAAUUGAUAAAUAUAACAAACAUUUUCAAUACUAUCUGAUUUGGGUGGCCUUGGUUUCCUUAAUAUUAAUGCUUGCACCAGAAUUGGUUGGAAAAAUUUGAUAAACAAAGACGUGAUGUGAUAUAAUGCAUUCACUAUUGAUGUCUUGUUGAGCAGUUGGUUUGCUGCUUUAUAAUUACUGGCCUUUAACCUGUGCGAAGCACGGGCGAAUAUAUAGUUCAUAAUUUAUUAUUUAUAAUUUAAAUUUUAACAUCAUUUUAUUAGUAUUUUAAUAUUAAUAGAUUGAAUUUAAUUAAAUUAUAUUAUUCGACUGACUAUAUUUUCUCCCAAUUACUUGAAAAUGGACAAACCCUAACAAAUAUAUAUAUAUAAUACAUUUUAAUCCGAAUUUAGUACAUGUAGAUUUAAAAAUUAAAAAAAAUCAGAAAAUUCAAAUCUUUUCCAAACAUAAACGAUCUUGUAAUACAUUUGAAAGAUUCAGUAAUUUAAUCAAUCGAAUUUCAACAUAAUUCUGUAAUCUUGAUUUUUUUAAAGAUUAGAGUUAGAAAAGGUUAUGUAAUGUUUGGUGUUUAUAUUGAUAUAGAACACGUUAAAGUUAAAAAGAGUUAUAUAAAACUUCUUGUUAAAAGAAGAUAUUCAAAAUUAUUAUUUAUAAUUUUAUUUAUAACAUCAUUAUAAUUUUUUAAUGAAAUAUUAUAUGAUAAGGUAUUGUUAGGAGUGUUUUUAGUAUUUGAAACUGUUUAAUAAUGUAAGAUUAAUAGACUCCACAUUUGUAGACUUGUAGUACCAAAAGGAGAGUACCAAACCAAAAAAUAUAAUUAAAACUUAGGAUUACAAAUUAUACCCAUGGCUUAUUAUAGUAUAGUAUAGAUGGGUUUUCUUUGCGUUCGUAGGCUAAAAGAUUGCUUAACUCAUGGCCAACUUGCACUUUGUUAACUAAAAAGCUUACAAACAAAGUUGAGAACUAGAUUUAUCUUGCUAUUUAGUCAUUACUCAUUAACAUUAAAAAAUAAAGUUUCCACCGCCUUUAACUCUUGUUUAGUUUUUAACCGGAAAAUAUUAGUAAUCGAGUCUUUCAGUUAUUUCAAUGCAAAUUUUUAUUAGUUCUUUACCCCAAAGGCAAGUUAGCCUAUUGACCUGUUUCAUUUAAUAAAAAUGCCUUAUUCAGUUCGGUCCCAAUCUGUUUGAAAAAAAUUAAUUAUCAUCUUUUUACAAAACCAAAUAUGACAAUUAAAAUAGGACGGACGGAAUACUGGAAGAUGGACAAUCUGUAAUCAAAAACACGCUGUUGAACCUCGAGGCUUUGACUGUGUUUAGCUUUGAUCGUUGAAUACGUAUUUCAUUCAACGCACAGUGUUUGAAAAAAACUGAUGGGGAGUCCCUAUAAAAGAGUAAACUUAAAAACACAAGUAGAUAACAUAGAAUAACACAAGCAAAAACAUUAUUCCUACUAGAGAUUAGAAGAAGAAAUAUGGAGAGCAGUUCAUCGACGGCAUCAGUAGCACUAGGAGUGUAUUGGUAUAACUGGGUCAAUGAUCAAGUCAUCUCUCAUUUUUACGGCUUCACUAGCCUCUUGGGUUUCCAAACAGCCACCAGCAGCAACAACAUUGAGGUGGUUUCCAGAGCCCGUAAGCCUCCGCAAAAACCCAUAAGCAAAGGGAGUGGUCCUAAAACCAACCAAGCUUCUGCAUAACACACUAGCUAUGGCUAAGGCAAUAUGUCACAACUGUAAACUAAAGCUGAAUGUGAAAGAAAGAAAAUCUCCAUUAAAGCUCUAUAAAAGUGUUUGUACAUAGCUCUCUACUUUGUUUCUAUUCUACUUGAAUGAAAAAUAAUGUGCUAUUCUCUAAUAUAUACAAAACAGACUAACUCUGUAACUACUUUCUGAAACUAACUACCACUACUUUGCUGAGCUGUCAUUUCGGGACCACAGCUGUCACUCUGCUUUUCCCGCCUCUUCUCUUGACUCUGAUCACUACUAGUAUACUGAACAUCCCCCCUCAAGUUAGGUGUAUGAAACAAGUUGAACACACCUAACUUCGAGAGUAAAUAGCGCAGUUGGUAUGAGGGUAAAGCCUUAGUGAAUAAGUGUGCAGGUUGCUCUGUUGAUGGAAGAUGAUGUGUAACCACAAUUCCCUGCUUAACCUUCUGGCGAACAAGGUGACAAUCUAUUUCAAUGUGUUUCGUAAGCUCGUGAAACACAGAAUUAGAGGCAAUGUGAAGGGCAAACUGAUUGCCGCAGUACAGAGAGACAGGAGUAAGAUUAGGUACAUAUAACUCUUUGCAUAAGGACAACAGCCAUGUAACUUCACAGCAUGAAUCUGCCAUUGCUCUGUACUCAGCCUCUGCUGAGGAGCGAGAAACUGUAUGCUGGCGUUUGCAUUUCCAGGAGACUAGUGAAGACCCCAAAGUGACACAAAAGCCAGUAAUAGACUGUCGAGUCUGUUUACAGCUACCCCAAUCAGCAUCAGUAAAAAUUCGUAGAUUGAAGGAGGAUUUGGAUGAUAACAGUAUACCUUGUCCACAUGUAUGCAUGCUUAAGGUAUUUAACCAACUUUAGAGCAGCCAACCAGUGAAUUUCUUGUGGCUUAUGCAUGAACUGGGCCAAUAUGUGUACAGAAUAGGAUAAGUCUGGACGAGUAAUAGUCAGAUAAAUCAAACGCCCAAUCAAUCUCCUAUAAGCUGAGAUAUCGGCAAGCAGGGAAGAGUUGGAUUCUGCUGUGAGAUUGUGAUUCUGGUCUAAAGGUACUAAGGAUGUCUUGGCAUCCUCACAUCCAACAUCCUUGAUAAUAUCCAUAGUAUACUUACGUUGAUUCAGAUAAAUUCCAGCAGCUGAGCGAGCAAUUUCAAUCCCCAGAAAGUAUUUCAAGGGGCCCAAAUCCUUAGUUUUGAAUUUGGUAGCAAGAAACUGAGUGACCUGAGUCAUUAAUUCAGGAGCAUUGCCUGUUAACACCAUGUCGUCCACAUAAACCAGUAAAACCACAAGCUUAUUGCCUUUCUUAAAGACAAAUAAACUUGAGUCACUGCAGGUUUGUGUGAAGCCAAAUUCAAGCAAAGCCUCAGAAAGGAUAGUAAACCACUCUCGAGGAGCUUGACGCAGUCCAUAGAUUGAUUUAAUGAGUUUGCACACUAACUUCUGGUUAGGAAAUUGUCGUAAGAUUUCUGGAGGGAUAGGAUAACCUUGAGGUAUUUCCAUAAACACUUCUUCAUGCAGAAAACCGUGUAAAAAUGCGUUGGUAACAUCAAGCUGUGUGAUGGACCAAUGGUUCAUAGCUGCAAGUGCAAGAACAACACGAAAAGUUGCCAUUUUGGCCAUUGGUGCGAACGUAUCAAAGUAGUCUAGACCCUCUGUUUGAGUAAAACCCUUGGCCACAAGGCGCGCCUUAUAUCUGUCUAUUUGGCCAUCAGGUAAAUACUUUACUUUAUAUAGCCAUCGACAUCCAACUGCCUUUUUGUUAGGUGGGAGAGGUACAAUUUGCCAGGUCUGAUUAGCUUCCAUAGCAGCUAACUCAGUAUUCAUUGCAGUGCACCACUCGCUUGAUUUACUUGCUUGAUUGGAUGUCUGUGGCUCUUGAAUUUUGGAAAUAUUAGCCAAAAAAUGUUCAUAAGAACUGUCAAAUGCAGAAUAUGAGACACAAUUUGUCAAGUUUUGAGUCACAGUACUCUGCAGUUGUGGAGGCAAGUUGGUGUAGUCUUUAAACUUGGCAGGAGCUUGCCUUUGUCUUUGUGGUCUUACUACAUGAGUAGUAGCUUCACUGAUAGGUACUGUAGGUGAAGAAUUAUCUUCAUUGAUAGACACUGUAGGAGAAGAAUUAUUAGAUCCUGUAGGCAUGCUCUGAUCAAUACUAUUAUCAGUACUAGUACUGUUGGGAACUGGAUAACUUGUGAUGGGAUCUGACUCCCAUUCAACAGUAGAGUUGUUCACAAAUAAUGGAGUGCUUUUCAAGGCAACGUCAAAAGUAUUCUGUUGGAAUGGAAAUUGUCGUUCAUCAAAGUACAGAUCUCUGGACACAAAGACUUGUCUAGUCUGCAUGUUUAAGACUUUAUACCCUUUUUAGCAUAGGGAUACCUCAAGAAUACUCCUUUAAUACCUCUAGCUGCAAAUUUGUCACUUGGUUGAGGAACUGUAGUUGCAUAACACAGGCAGCCAAAUAUUCGAAGUCGAGAAUAAUCUGGCUUAGAGUUAAACAGCACCUCAUAUGGUGACUUGCCUUGAAGCACAUGGGUAGGUGUUCGAUUAAUAAGAUAGCAAGCAGUUAACACACAGUCUCCCCACAGAGUAAGAGGAACAUUGGACUGAAAUCGUAAGGCUCGUGCAACAUUCAUAAGAUGUCUGUGUCUUCUCUCCACAAUUCCAUUCUGUUGUGGAGAGUAAGCACAAGUGGUUUGAUGGACAAUACCAUUUUGUGCAAACAAUUUAGACACAGUUUGAUUUACAAACUCAGUACCAUUGUCUGAGCGCACAACUUUAACAGAGGUUUUGAACUGAUUUAUAACAUAAUUGAGAAAAUCAGAUAUAAUACGACUAACACUAAUUUUAUCUGGUAGCAGAAAAACCCAUGCAGCACGAGACAUGUCAUCAACAUUAAUGGUUAAAAAAUAAGAACAACUGCCAUGAGUUUUAAUUCGAUAUGGUCCCCAUAAGUCCAUAUGGACAAGAUCAAACACAUUUGAACUACAAGACUCACUAUUAGCAAAAGGAUGUCUAACUUGUUUUGACAGAUGACAAGUAUCACAAGUAUGAUUGACAGAAGUUUUACACUGAAAAGGAAACAAUUUUAAGACAGACAUAGGCACAUGGCCAGUUCUGGCAUGCCAGAGAUUAGUAUCUGCAGUGUGGGAGGCAACAGCUGAACAAGAGUAUGUAGAUGAUAGUUUGCAAGCAUUUAGAAUGUAGAGACCAUACACAACUUUACCAAUCUCUAGGUCCCUCAUCAAGAUAGGGGCCUGAAGAAAGCAACAAUCAUUCUUAAAAACAAUAGAAGACACCGAAUCAGUCACAAACUUGGAGACUGAAAACAAGUUAUAAUGAAACUGAGGAACACACAGCACAUUGUGAAGAAUAAUAUGAGAACUAAGAGUGAUAGAUCCCAUAUGAGUAACAGGUGCAGUGUGACCAUUAGGAUGAUAUAAUAGAGACUGACAAGACACAACAUUGGAAGUAGAUGUAGGUGAGGUGUUACAUGAUCAGUAGCACAUGUGUCGAUAAUCCAUUCAAAAUUCUUGUAAGAAUUAUUGUGUACAGGACUAGCAAAAUGCAGAAAUGUACCUGCAAACUGAGUACUAUUAACUGUAGCAUAUGGAUUCAUAUCAGCAGCUGGUUGAAUUGUGGUAUGAUUCAGCAGUUGUAGAAGUUGCUUGUACUGACUCUCAGAAAACUGAAAGUUGUUGUAUCAGUCUGAGAGGUAGAAGGAUUAGUCUGAGAAUUAUCAGGAGAGCUCUGUGAGACUUGAGCAGCCACAACAUUUCUUGAGGAGAUAUGUUUAGGCUUGGGCUUGGGUUUGCCAUACAUUUUGUGCCACUCAGGGUAACCAUGCAGACAAAAGCAUUUGUCCUUGACAUGUCCUUGCAUAUGACAAUAGUCACAGUAGAUUGGAACAUCAGAUUGAGUCUUCUUGAUUUCUUUCGAAAAUGUAGCCUUGAAUUUCACUGCUAAGGCCACACUAUCAGCAGUAGGAUGCGAAUUACUAGCAAUCCCUCUCUGAUUCUCCUCUUGCAACAGUAUGGAAUAGCAUUUGCUAAGGGAGGGUAAAGGAUUCAUUGCUUAAUCCCGACACCAAAUGUCCUGUGUUAUUAACCUGCAGUUUGCUCAUGUUACCAAAACUACACAAACUCGUGAUCUGAUCAACCAUUUCCAUAUUCUCCUCCUCUGGUGAAAAGGGUCUCCCCAGAAACUGCGCCAGACGCCUGAGUUGAGCAUGAGGCUCAGACUUCAACUCUUCAUACCUCAUAAACAGCACCUUGUUUAUUGUCGAAUGGAGUGGUUACUUGUGAAUAGGUUUCAAGUAGUUAUUAAUUAGUAUAAUAUCUUUAACUAUCAGUAAUUACAAGUUAUUUCCGGUCUUGCAAUGUUGCCAUGUUACCCUUAUUAUAUUCCUCGAUAGUGAAAAAACUAUUCUGUCUUAAAUAGUAAAACGACAUAUAGAAUUUGAAUGUUGGGAACUUGGUGUUUGGUUCUGGAAAAACUAUUGUGGCGUAUAUUGUGAUCCCACAAGGAUAAGAACAAAUAAUGUAUUGUAUUUUUAUAUUAUUCUUAUAGUACUCUUGCCAUAUCCUAAAUUUGUGUUCCAGACUAGUUAUAUUCUCUUCAUAUUCCAGUAAUGAUUAGCUUUGUGUAAAGAUUAUAAUUUCUUAGCAGCUUGCAAAGAUGGGUUCUAAGAAAGGGUCCUAGAUAUAUUAAAGAGAAUUUGGAGAUAAUUGUCUGUUAAAAAUGAUAAGAUCUGUAUUUUGGUUAAAACUAGCACCCUUGUGUUACUUGUUACCAAUCAUUAAUAUUGAUUUCAAUUAAUUACAUAUGUAUGAAGAUCCAAGUAAGUAUAGAAUGGAUUGAAUAUUUGUAAAUUCUUUGUUUAAUUGAUUAAUUCAUUCUGAUUUGAUUGUCAAGUACAACCUUUGUAAUUUAUUAUUUGUGUACAGUUGCUCUGACUUGGUUCAUAAAUAAAAAGUGGUAAAGCUUAAUGUUUGAUGUGUAAAUUAGCAUGUAUAGAGUGUUGUUGUGCUGAGUGUUUGUAUAAUUUUAGCCUUUUGCUUGUGUAUAAAUAUUUGUUAUGAUGUUAUUUAAUGAAAUUAUGAUAUUGCGGAUUGAUUAAUUAUGGUAUUGAGGAGUGAUUGGUGAAUUGGAUAAAAAAAAUUAUGGGUGGGAUUAUGAAAGGAACAAAAAAGUCAUGCCAAUUUUUUUUUUAAUUUUUUUUAAUAAUAUUAUGCAAGUAACUGAAUUCAGUCAUAUUUAGCUCAUUUUAUUUGACCAAAAUCAGUCGAAAUUAUAAAUGUGACCAUUGAACAGUAGUCAAAUUUAUAAAUAUGACCGCUGAAUAUCAGUCAAAUUUAUAUAUAUGACUGUUGAUAAAAUAGUCAAAUUUAUAAAUAUGACUGAUUAGUUAGUCAAAUUUAAGUACAAAAGUGGGAAAUUUGAAUUUGACGAAAAAAUUGGAGGUGAAAAAUCAGAGUUAAAAAUGAUCGAUUGAAGUCAAAUUAGGCGGUCAAAUUUAAGAAGUCAUAUUUAACCGGUCAUAUUUAAACAGUCACAUUUGAUUAAAUAUGACCGAGAAUGUUAGAUUCCACUAAGUUAUUUAAGACCAACAAAUUCUGGUCAAAUUUAGCAGGGAUAAAAGCCAUUCUUAGCUAGCAGGGAUAAAAGCCAUUCUUAGCUAUAAACCAGUACUGUCUCAUGAGCAUCAAACUCUGUUGUUUUGGCUUCCAUGUUGUUUUGGCUUCCAUGAUAUAUAUGUUGUGCAAGUGUAACAUGCGGAAGAAACGCAUGAGAUAUAUAAGACCAUCUCCAACCCAUAACACCAUUUUGGUGUGAAAAAUACACCAAUUUGGUGUGAAAACUACACCAAAUCAAAAUUUCACUCCAACCCAUCAACACCAUAUCCUACACCAAAAAGAAUCUUUUACACAUUAAAUGGAAUAUUCUCUCUUUUUAAGUUAUUUAUAUCAUUAUUGAAUUUGUACUUAAAUUUUAACAUGUUCAAUAAACAAGGACCUAAAAUAAUUAUAAAUUCAUUAAUAAAUUCAAGAGGACAACUUAAUUAUAUGAAUUCCCAUGCUCUUCCCAUAUGUGCUCGAUCAAGGCGUUGCGAAGUUCAAAUUGAGCUUCCUUAUCUUUAAUUUGUCGAUAUCUAGUAAGAAAAUCUUGAAAUUCGUCAUCUCCAUUUCUUUCCAUUUCUUUCCAUUUCGACAGCAGCAGAAGAUGUUUCCACGUAAUCAUGUACAUGCAAAUUUAAGUCUCGUUCAUCCUCAACUAUCAAGUUGUGCAUGAUAAUACAUAUGUGAGGGUAUACAUAUGUGAGGUAAUUUUAAUCAUUGUUUAUUUUAUUUUUAAUCAAAUCUAUUUAAAAAACAUAUCUUCUAUAUAAGAAUAUAAAUUUAUUGAUAUUUGGAAAUAAAUAAAAAACUUGAGUAAAAUAGUAAAGAAAGAAAAUUUAAAACAAUUAUGAUUAAAGAAUAAAUAAUAUAACAUAAAACAACUUUAAUGGGACAUAGAUGGAAUAAUUUUGUUUUCAUUAACAUAUGUGAGGGUAUAGUAGGUAUUUUAGAAAACUCCAAAUUUGGUGUAAAAGUUACACCAAAUCAAUACUUGACACCAAAUUUGGUGUCAACCAAUUCAUUUGGUGUCAACUUUACACCAAUUUGAUGUUGGGUUGGAGUGAAUUUGACACCAAAUUUGACACCAAAAUGGUGUUUUGGUGUUGGGUUGGAGUUGCCCUAAUGCAUGCAGCAUUAAGGCCUUGUUUGUUUGGUGGUUGGCGUUGGUUACCCUGCAUGAAAAACUUAUACUAUUAUUUUUAAUGCUUUCACCCCGGUGGUUGAAAAAAUUGAUGAAUAUAACAAACAUUAGGAAUACUGAAUAUAGCCCAGCAUGGCUCGAUGUGACCCAAUUAAAUAAUUGAUAGUGCCUCGUAUCUACCUACUCCCUCCGUCCCAAUGAAUUGUAUACAGUUUCCUUUUUGGGACGUCCCACCAAUUAUAUACAUACCAAAAGUAGUAACUUUUAUAAUAUAAAAUAACAUUACACCAACUACUUUCCUCCACUAUCUCCAUUCUAUAAUAAUAUAAACACUAUUACACCCACUACUUUCCUCCACUAUCUCCAUUCUAUAAUAAUAUAAACACUAUUACACCCACUACUUUCCUCCACUAUCUCAAAUCUAUUAUUAAAUAUAAAUGGAUCCCACCACUAUACUCACUUUUCUUCUAACUUUACUCAUUUUUUACACUUUUUCUUGGUCUCCGUGUCCCAGCCAUUUGUAUACAAAUGACCGGGACGGAGGGAGUAUUGGUUGCAACUUGCAAGUUUGUUUUUUAGGAAAAUGAAAUUUCUUUGGAUAUAUGUAUAUCUAGUAGCUUUCGUUUCUUUUUGGUUAUUUUCUCACUUGUUAUCCGUAUCCAAUUGAUUAAUGAAUAUUAAUAUUUUUAUCAUAGAGAUUUUUAUUAUCGUCAAUUUUAAUCGAAAAUUUGUUUAUAUUUAUUAAUAUAGGAUAUUUUCAAAGUCCCAUAUUUUAGGGGUUGCUAAUUUUAUUAGAUAAAAGUUAUGAUUACAAUUCAUAGAAUUAUAUAAUACGUUUUCUUCUAUGACUUAAAUUUAAAUAAGACAAUUAUUUUGUCACUUCAAUAAUAUUUGUGUCGCAUGGAUAAAUAAAUAUUAAUUACUGUAAUUCGAAUAUCAUCAAUUUAAAUAAUUUUAUAUUUAUUAGUAUAGGAUAUACUGUAUAUAUAGUUCACUCAUGUGGUGAGUUGAGCAAUAGUCCACAACCUAAUAUUUUAGGUGUCCUAAAUUCAGGGUUGAUAAUUUUAUUUGCAAAAAGUAUAAGAAUUGUCACCACAUUUGAUAAGAAUAUAACACGAACAGCCAUUCAAAUCUAAUUAAGAGUCAGAUUAAUAUAAUGAUCUGUUUAAGAAUUAGGAGUUUAUUUGAAAUUUUGAAUUUGUGCAAACUACGUGUUUGAAAAUAUGAAUUUAAAUUUCAUUUGAAAUUCGAAUAUUUAAGUAUUAAUAUAAAUCUGAAAAUUUAAAAUAAUAACUGUUAUUUAAAAUUUAUCUAAAAGCAUCUCCAACGGCGUUAUUAAUUUAGAAUUUUAAAUUACCGUGAUUCGAAAAUGUGGGAUAUCCAAUCACAAUUUUAAAAAAUAUUAAAACUUUGGUGAUAUUUAAUUAGUAUUAUAUAAUAUUUAUUAAAAUUUGAGGGACUUGCUGAAAGGAUGAAUAUUAUAAGAUUAUUUGGUGUAUUUUAUAUUUUCAAAAAUUGUGAAGGAAUGUGCUUAAAUAUUAAAAUUCCUUGUACAUAAUUAAAUCUAAAUCAAAUAUAAUAUACUAAAAUUCAUAAAGUUUUAUUAAUUUAUUAAAAUCGUACACCACGUUGAAACACAAUCGCAAAGCAAAAUGCAUAUUAUAAAUGAUGAUUAGGAUUACUCAUCUCAGACUCAUACUUUUUCAAGGACAAACGAUCACAAACAAGCCAACAAGAACAUAAAUGGUAGAAGCAACGGACACACUUAUUUAAAUUGGAUAUGUCGAGAUGAUUAUAUAUUAAAGAAUCAAUCCUGAACCGCUGAACUUUUCCUGGGUAAUCUGAUCCAACUUAGCAGCCAUCUCUGCAGUGAGACACUUGUUUCCCCCUCCAACUUGACCAUUCCGAAAAAAUGAACCAUUGCUUAAUCCAGGCACCAAAUGUCUUGUGUUAUUAACCUGCAGUUUUGCUCAUGUUACCAAAACUACACAAACUCGUGAUCUGAUCAACCAUUUCCAUAUUCUCCUCCUCUGGUGAGAAGGGUCUCCCCAGAAACUGCGCCAGACGCGUGACUUGUGCAUGAGGCUCAGACUUCAACUCUUCAUACCUCAUAAACAGCACCUUGUUUGGUCUUUCCAGGCUCUCCUUCCAAUAUCCCAAGAUUUGAUCCCAGAUAGGACCACCCGUACUUGUGCCUUUGCAGAAUAAAUGAAAUGCCUCUUCCAGAGAAACAGGAGAAGAUCGAAGAUUGGCCUUGUUGGAGAAGUGAAAGAGUGAAACAAAACUGUCCUUGAUGUCCCUGCACAAAUACACAAUCUUGAUAUUAGUUGAUCCACCAUCCUCCUCUGUAAUGGACGUUGGGCCACAAGCCCACGAACUAGAAGCCCACUACCGCCAAGCCCAAGAGGGAGUCCAAGGCCAAAAGCCCAGCAAGCAAACACAGGAGGAGCGUGACUUAAAACUUAUAAAUACAGAGGAGAUAAGGCGGAGAAAGGGGUUGGAAAAGAGAGUAAAAGAGCCACCUCCUUGUAAUAUUGAUCUGGCUGAGAACUAUGUAUAUUCCGGCUUAUAUCUCAAUAUUUGGCGCUAGAAGGAGGGCUCUAAUCAUCCAACCAUCAACAAGACAUAUAUAUAUACAAUUUCCUAUAUCUAUAAUCACUAAAACAGACGCACACACUUUUCAUCUCUCAACGGAAAAGCAAAUCGGAGUAGUGGAUCGGGCGCCUGUAACGCAGCCUACAACAAUAUCUUCAGAAAAAAUGGAGGAAGAUGAAGCUCUGAGAUCUGAAAACAUAUCAGCGCCAAAAAACACAUCAGAUCUGCAAUAUAUGUCGCCGGAGGUGAGUCGACAACGAGAACUUGAUCCUCGGAGGUUGUUUGAUGAUGAACACCAUCAAACAUGCUCAGAUUCGGUGUUUGACGCCGCCGUCAAGCUCCGAAAUUGACGAUCUAUUACAUCCGGAAAAGAAGGAGAAAAAACAAGUCAAGAUUCGAUUCUGAGAAUGAUACUGUUAGCAUUAAUGAAAUCUCCAGGUGUGAGUUAAGGCAUAAGAAAUCUUCGACGAGGAGCCACAAUCGAGUUUGAGCAGAAAACUGAUGUUCUCAGAUCUGAUUGAAAAAGGAGGCGCUGAACCAUUGAACCGAUAUAGUGUUGAAAUUUUCAGAAAAUUACCUAGCACAACUCUCAAGUGGUCCAACGAUUUGCAUCCAUAUUCUAUCGCCUCUCGUAGUUCAUCGACUCUCCAGCUCAACGGGUCACCAACUCAAAAUUCACAGGAAAAUAUCAUGUAUCUUACUCGAAAAAGGAAGCGCUAAGCCGUGGAGCCAGUGAAGUGAUGAAGUCCCUUAAAAAAAGUGCAAAAUACAACCUCCAAGAGGUUCAACAAUCUGACUCCAUACUCCAUCAGCUCUUGGAGCAUACAAAAAUUAAAUCUCAAUGGGAUCCAAAGGAAACAAACAUAUAUCCCGAUGCGAAUUCAAAAAUCAUGAAUCUAGAUUUGCUUCUUUGAUCCGUCAGCUCUCGGAGCAUCCUUGAAAAUAAAAGGCAUAGCCUCAAAAUGGCUCCACAUUUCGCCUCUUCGCUCCAUCAGCUCACGGAGCAUCCUUGAAACUAAAAGGCAUAGCCUCAAAAAGGCUCCACAAAUCGCCUCUUCGCUUCAUCAGCUCUCAGAGCAUCCUUGAAAAUAAAAAGCAUAGCCUCAAAAAGGCUCCACAAAUCGCCUCUCCGUUUCAUCAGCUCUCAGAGCAUCCUUAAUAAUAAAAGGCAUAGCCUCAAAAUGACUCCACAUUUCGCCUCUUCGCUCCAUCAGCUCACAGAGCAUCCUUGAAACUAAAAGGCAUAGCCUCAAAAAGGCUCCACAAAUCGCCUCUUCGCUCCAUCAGCUCUCAGGGCAUCUUUGAAAAUAAAAAGGCAUAGCCUCAAAAUGACUCCAUAUUUCGCCUCUUCGCUCCAUCAGCUCUCGGAGCAUCCUUAAAAGUAAAAGGCAUAGCCUCAAUGACUCCACAAAUCGCCUCUUCGCUCCAUUAGCUCUCGGAGCACCCUUGAAAAUAAAAGGCAUAGCCUCAAAAUGGCUCCAUAAUUCGGUUCUUUGCUCCAUCAGCUCUCGGAGCACCCUUGAAAAUAAAAGGCAUAGCCUCAAAAUGGCUCCAUAAUUCGGUUCCUUGCUCCAUCAGCUCUUGGAGCAUCCUUGAAAGUAAAAGGCACAGUCCUAAAAUGGCUCUAUAAUUCGGUUCUUUGCUCCAUCAGCUCUCGGAGCGUCCAAUUUUCGAAGCACGGCUCUGUGAGGCGCGCCGCGAGUGAGGCGUCUCGCUUGUGAAGCAUCCUUAAAUACAGCUCUUAGAGCGUCCUUAAUUGCUUUUUAAGCGUCCAAAUUUUAAAGUAUUCUUAAUUGCUCUUUGAGCUUCAAAUUUUUUAAGUAUUCUUAAUUGCUCAUUGAGCGUCCAACUCAUGAAGCGUCAUGCUCUUGAUAGGUCACACCCUUGAAACAUCACGCUCUUGAAGUGUUCUUAAAUAUAAAAUACAGCUCUUAAAGCAUCCAGCUCUUGGAUCGUCCUUUAAGCGUCACACUUUGGAGGACGCUAAAGUGGUUCAACGACCUGCAUCUUCGCUUCAGCGGUUCUACUUGAUUAUUUCUCCACUUCCAAAGUAUUUUAGGCUCUAGUUGUCCUUCACCUUCAAGGUCGAACAGCCUCUUCAAUUCAGCGGCUCUGCCUCUUUACUUCAUCGGCUCCCCCAACAUCCAAAGUUCUAGUCAUGACUUUUACGGCUAGCAAGCUCCUCGCCUCAUAGGAGGACGUCUAUUAGUUGCUUAUUGAAAAGUUUGAGCAGAGAGAUGAUAUUCUCAAAUCUGAUCGGAAAAGGAGGCGCUGAAAUAUUGAACCGAUGAACCAAGUGGCUCUGUUUUUUGCCUCCUCACUACAUCGCUCCACUAGCUCGGUGAGCGUCCCUUAAAUGGCAGGCAAUGCCCUACAACGGGUCUUAGGUAUCACGCCCCAAGGCUUCAUCUGCAAAACACAUUACCUCCAAAUAAGCCCUCUUUGCGAGGAAGCUAGUAUGUGAAUCAAGGCAUCUACGUUAACUUCCUUUUUUGUAUGCAAUAGUCCACCAACACUCUUCACUUGAAAAAGGUCAAGUGACAGCCCCAACGAGGGAAAAAUCAGGAGCGCAUUCAUUUACCCAUUAGACGGAAAUAUAGGUAAUCUCCACAAGAUGUUAUACUGAAAUCGAUCAUCAAACCUGAAAGCUAGAAGUGACAACAUUGAUAUCACCACCAAAGACGAUUCUCCAAGCUCACAGCCCACAGCCUCUCUACUUCACUGCAAAGACGGUUCUUCAAGUUCACAGCCCACAACCCUCUACUUCACUGCCAAGACGGUUCUCCAAGCUAAGCUCACAGCCCCUCUACUUCACUCGGCAGUUUAUUCUUUUAGCCAUCAUGUUCUUUCAGCAAUUAUCACCAUCAGAUUGGCUUCGAUUGUUUGGUAGAAAGCAACUAGAUAAGAAAGAGACUUUUUAUCGGCAAGAAUCUCAUCAACCUUCACUGCAUCUUCCAGCUCCUCAACUGCACUGCUCAACAGUCCUCGCCACAACGGGCACCAUCAACCUCACCACCUCAUGUACCUCUUAGAGAAAUGGCUCACCGCCUCCAAAAAUAAAGACUCAUAUUCGGAGGCAACCUAUUGGAAAAUGGCAACCAAAGAUCCUGCAUGUACCGUCCAAAAAUAAAGACUCAUAUUCGGAGGGCUUAGUUAUUUCAAAGAAAGGGACAAGCUGAUGAGGAGUCUUUUGUCGCAAAGGGUGCUGAGCAUCUUGAGGAUGAUGUUUUUGGCGGUGAACUAUAGCAUAGAGAAUGGCUUUCAUCCAGGUGGUGCCAGAUUUGGGUGCAGUUACGAGGAAGACAUCGUUUUCUCGAGGCCGAAAAUGUUGUUGACAGUCGAUCAUCCCUUGCAA
rnacentral:lncRNA from 1 species